rnacentral:rRNA from 1 species
UAGGGAAUCUUCGGCAAUGGACGAAAGUCUGACCGAGCAACGCCGCGUGAGUGAAGAAGGUUUUCGGAUCGUAAAACUCUGUUGGUAGAGAAGAACGUUGGUGAGAGUGGAAAGCUCAUCAAGUGACGGUAACUACCCAGAAAGGGACGGCUAACUACGUGCCAAA